CCUACGGGGGGCAGCAGUGGGGGAUAUUGCACAAUGGGGGAAACCCUGAUGCAGCGACGCCGCGUGAGUGAAGAAGUAUUUCGGGAUGUAAAGCUCUAUCAGCAGGGAAGAAAAGGACAGUACCUGACCAAGAAGCCCCGGCUAACGACGUGCCAGCAGCCGCGGUAAUACGUAGGGGGCAAGCGUUAUCCGGAUUUACUGGGUGUACAGGGAGCGUAGACGGUUCUGGAAGUCUGGAGUGAAAGCCCGGGGCCCACCCCCGGGACUGCUUUGGAAACUGUGUAACUGGAGUACAGGAGGGGCAGGCGGAAUUCCUGGUGUAGCGGUGAAUUGCGUCGAUAUCAGGCGGACCACCGGCGGCGAAGGCGGCCUGCUGGACUGCACCUGACGUUGAGGCUCGAACGCGUGGGGAGCAAACAGGAUUAGAUACCCCUGUAGUC
rnacentral:rRNA from 1 species